AUGCCCAGACUGCAGUUUGGAGGUGACACUGGGUUAACUGGACCCCCUGGGCCCCCAGGAACUGUUAUUGUGACGUUAAGUGGACCAGACAACAUGACGGUAGUAAAAUUGUUAAAUAUGGUGUUCAGAUAAUCUGUCUGACUAGGUUUUACUAUGAGAGGAUGCUCUGAUAAUAUUUCCUUUUACUCAUCCUAAUAUUUUUCAGACUUGUUUAAUUAUAUUCUGAGCUCUCUUAGAGUGUAGAGCUGACUCAGCUGAGGCUGUGUGCUCACAUGCACAUCUGCACGAUGCCAGUGCAAUGCUUCUUGCUUACCAGUACCACACCUGCUGGAAAUCCCUGAGGAGUGGAGAGUAAAUCACUUCUGCUUCACCAAAUCCACAUGGCUGUUCUGAAUGGCUAUCAAAGCCACAGCUGAGUUGACCUCUGGGCCUUGGCACUGAGA
rnacentral:lncRNA from 1 species